rnacentral:rRNA from 1 species
GACGUAGGGAGCGAGCGUUGUCCGGAUUCAUUGGGCGUAAAGAGCGCGCAGGCGGUUUGGUAAGUCGGAUGUGAAAACCCGGAGCUCAACUCCGGGGCUGCAUCCGAUACUGCCCGACUAGAGGUAGGUAGGGGAGAUCGGAAUUCCUGGUGUAGCGGUGAAAUGCGCAGAUAUCAGGAGGAACACCGGUGGCGAAGGCGGAUCUCUGGGCCUUACCUGACGCUCAGGCGCGAAAGCUAGGGGAGCGAACAGG